AAGGCCAAUCAAACCGGGAGAUAGCUGGUUCUCCCCGAAAGCUAUUUAGGUAGCGCCUCGUGAAUUCAUCUCCGGGGGUAGAGCACUGUUUCGGCAAGGGGGUCAUCCCGACUUACCAACCCGAUGCAAACUGCGAAUACCGGAGAAUGUUAUCACGGGAGACACACGGCGGGUGCUAACGUCCGUCGUGAAGAGGGAAACAACCCAGACCGCCAGCUAAGGUCCCAAAGUCAUGGUUAAGUGGGAAACGAUGUGGGAAGGCCCAGACAGCCAGGAUGUUGGCUUAGAAGCAGCCAUCAUUUAAAGAAAGCGUAAUAGCUCACUGGUCGAGUCGGCCUGCGCGGAAGAUGUAACGGGGCUAAACCAUGCACCGAAGCUGCGGCAGCGACACUAUGUGUUGUUGGGUAGGGGAGCG
rnacentral:rRNA from 1 species